AUUGAACGCUGGCGGCAUGCUUUACACAUGCAAGUCGAACGGCAGCGCGGAGAAGCUUGCUUCUCUGUCGGCGAGUGGCGCACGGGUGAGUAUAGCAUCGGAACGUGCCAAGUAGUGGGGGAUAACCAAACGAAAGUUUGGCUAAUACCGCGUAAGCUCUAAGGAGGAAAGUAGGGGACCUAAAUAAGGCCUUACGCUAUUUGAUCGGCCGAUGUCGGAUUAGCUAGUUGGUGGGGUAAUGGCUCACCAAGGCAAUGAUCCGUAGCGGGUCUGAGAGGACGAUCCGCCACACUGGGACUGAGACACGGCCCAGACUCCUACGGGAGGCAGCAGUGGGGAAUUUUGGACAAUGGGGAAACCCUGAUCCAGCCAUGCCGCGUGUAUGAAGAAGGCCUUAGGGUUGUAAAGUACUUUUGUUAGGGAAGAAAAGCUAGUUUUUAAUAAAAAUUAGUGAUGACGGUACCUAAAGAAUAAGCACCGGCUAACUACGUG
rnacentral:rRNA from 1 species